rnacentral:rRNA from 1 species
GUGCCAGCAGCCGCGGUAAUACGUAGGGUGCGAGCGUUGUCCGGAAUUACUGGGCGUAAAGGGCUCGUAGGUGGUUUGUCGCGUCGUCUGUGAAAUUCCGGGGCUUAACUCCGGGCGUGCAGGCGAUACGGGCAUAACUUGAGUACUGUAGGGGUAACUGGAAUUCCUGGUGUAGCGGUGAAAUGCGCAGAUAUCAGGAGGAACACCGGUGGCGAAGGCAGGUUACUGGGCAGUUACUGACGCUGAGGAGCGAAAGCAUGGGUAGCGAACAGGA